rnacentral:rRNA from 1 species
GAUGAACGCUGGCGGCGUGCCUAAUACAUGCAAGUCGAGCGCAGCGGGGACGGGUGAGUAACACGUGGAUAACCUCCUAUACGACUGGGAUAACUUCGGGAAACCGGAGCUAAACCGGAUACUAAAUGAUGGAUCCGGGCUGCCUUAGCUAGUUGGUAAGGUAACGGCGUACAAAGGCAACGAGGCAUCGCCGACCUGAGGGGGGGAUCGUCCACACUGGAACUGAGACACGGUCCAGACUCCUACGUGAGGCAGCGUUAGGGAAUCUUCCGCAAUGGGCGAAAGCCUGACGGAGAAACGCCGCGUGAGUGAUGAAGGUCUUCGGAUCGUAAAACUCUGUUAUUAGGGAAGCGGUACCUAAUCAGAAAGCCACGGCUAACUACGUGCCAGCUGCCGCGGUAAUUC